rnacentral:rRNA from 1 species
CCUACGGGAGGCAGCAGUGAGGAAUAUUGGUCAAUGGACGAGAGUCUGAACCAGCCAAGUAGCGUGAAGGAUGACUGCCCUAUGGGUUGUAAACUUCUUUUAUAUGGGAAUAAAAUGUUCCACGUGUGGGAUUUUGUAUGUACCAUAUGAAUAAGGAUCGGCUAACUCCGUGCCAGCAGCCGCGGUAAUACGGAGGAGCCGGGCGUUAUCCGGAUUUAUUGGGUUUAAAGGGAGCGUAGGUGGAUUGUUAAGUGAGUUGUGAAAAUUUGCGGCUCAACCAUAAAAUUGCAGGUGAAACUGGCAGUCUUGAGUACAGUAGAGGUGGGCGGAAUUCGUGGUGUAGCGGUGAAAUGCUUAGAUAUCACGAAGAACUCCGAUUGCGAAGGCAGCUCACUGGACUGCAACUGACACUGAGGCUCGAAAGUGUGGGUAUCGAACAGGAUUAGAUACCCCGGUAGUC